GAUGAACGCUGGCGGCGUGCCUAAUACAUGCAAGUCGAGCGAACAGACGAGGAGCUUGCUCCUCUGACGUUAGCGGCGGACGGGUGAGUAACACGUGGAUAACCUACCUAUAAGACUGGGAUAACUUCGGGAAACCGGAGCUAAUACCGGAUAAUAUAUUGAACCGCAUGGUUCAAUAGUGAAAGACGGUUUUGCUGUCACUUAUAGAUGGAUCCGCGCCGCAUUAGCUAGUUGGUAAGGUAACGGCUUACCAAGGCAACGAUGGGUAGCCGACCUGAGAGGGUGAUCGGCCCCACUGGAACUGAGACACGGUCCAGACUCCUACGGGAGGCAGCAGUAGGGAAUCUUCCGCAAUGGGCGAAAGCUUGACGGAGCAACGCCGCGUGAGUGAUGAAGGUCUUCGGAUCGUAAAACUCUGUUAUUAGGGAAGAACAAAUGUGUAAGUAACUAUGCACGUCUUGACGGUACCUAAUCAGAAAGCCACGGCUAACUACGUG
rnacentral:rRNA from 1 species